rnacentral:rRNA from 1 species
AUUGCACAAUGGAGGGAAACUCUGAUGCAGCGACGCCGCGUGAGUGAAGAAGUAUUUCGGUAUGUAAAGCUCUAUCAGCAGGGAAGAAAAUGACGGUACCUGACUAAGAAGCACCGGCUAAAUACGUGCC